rnacentral:rRNA from 1 species
GGGGAUAACUACUGGAAACGGUAGCUAAUACCGCAUAACGUCGCAAGACCAAAGAGGGGGACCUUCGGGCCUCUUGCCAUCGGAUGUGCCCAGAUGGGAUUAGCUUGUUGGUGGGGUAACGGCUCACCAAGGCGACGAUCCCUAGCUGGUCUGAGAGGAUGACCAGCCACACUGGAACUGAGACACGGUCCAGACUCCUACGGGAGGCAGCAGUGGGGAAUAUUGCACAAUGGGCGCAAGCCUGAUGCAGCCAUGCCGCGUGUAUGAAGAAGGCCUUCGGGUUGUAAAGUACUUUCAGCGGGGAGGAAGGGAGUAAAGUUAAUACCUUUGCUCAUUGACGUUACCCGCAGAAGAAGCACCGGCUAACUCCGUGCCAGCAGCCGCGGUAAUACGGAGGGUGCAAGCGUUAAUCGGAAUUACUGGGCGUAAAGCGCACGCAGGCGGUUUGAUAAGUCAGAUGUGAAAUCCCCGGGCUCAACCUGGGAACUGCAUCUGAUACUGGCAAGCUUGAGUCUCGUAGAGGGGGGUAGAAUUCCAGGUGUAGCGGGGAAAUGCGUAGAGAUCUGGAGGAAUACCGGUGGCGAAGGCGGCCCCCUGGACGAAGACUGACGCUCAGGUGCGAAAGCGCGGGGAGCAAACAGGAUUAGAUACCCUGGUAGUCCACGCCGUAAACGAUGUCGACUUGGAGGUUGUGCCCUUGAGGCGUGGCUUCCGGAG